rnacentral:rRNA from 1 species
UACGGAGGGUGCAAGCGUUCUCCGGAUUUAUUGGGUUUAAAGGGUCCGUAGGCGGCCCUGUAAGUCAGUGGUGAGAUCUCAUAGCUUAACUAUGAAACUGCCAUUGAUACUGCAGGUCUUGAGUGAAUUAGAGGUAGCUGGAAUAAGUAGUGUAGCGGUGAAAUGCAUAGAUAUUACGUAGAACACCAAUUGCGAAGGCAGGUUACCAUGAUUCAACUGACGCUGAGGGACGAAAGCGUGGGGAGCGAACAGG